rnacentral:tRNA from 1 species
UCCCCGAUCGUCUAAUGGUAGGACACCGGCCUUUGACGCCGUGAAUCGUGGUUCGAGCCCAUGUCGGGGAGCCA